AACGCAAGUUGCGCCCGAAGCCAUUAGGCCGAGGGCACGCCUGCCUGGGCGUCACACGUCGUUGCCCCCCCAACCCCCUCGGGAGUUGGGCGGGACGGAUGAUGGCCUCCCGUGUGCUUCGUCAUGCGGUUGGCAUAAAAAAUAAGUCCUCGGCGACUAACGCCACGACAAUCGGUGGUUGUCAAACCUCUGUUGCCUAUCGUGUGCGCGUGUCGAACGAGGGCUCAAUGAACCAUGCUGCAUUGAUUCGUCGAUGCUUUCAACGCGACCCCAGGUCAGGCGGGGUUACCCGCUGAAUUUAA
rnacentral:misc_RNA from 2 species